UCAUUAAAAUGAGGGUGAUGAGCGUCAA
rnacentral:sRNA from 1 species